UACGGAGGGUGCAAGCGUUAUCCGGAUUCACUGGGUUUAAAGGGUGCGUAGGUGGGCUAGUAAGUCCGUGGUGAAAUCCCUGAGCUUAACUCGGAAACUGCCGUUGAUACUAUCUGUCUUGAAUACCGUGGAGGUGAGCGGAAUAUGUCAUGUAGCGGUGAAAUGCUUAGAUAUGACAUAGAACACCGAUUGCGAAGGCAGCUCACUACACGAAUAUUGACUCUGAGGCACGAAAGCGUGGGGAUCAAACAGG
rnacentral:rRNA from 1 species